GCCCCGGUAGCUCAGCCCGGUUAGAGCGCCCGCUUGGUAAGCGGGAGGCCGCGGGUUCAAAGCCCGCCCGGGGCUCCA
rnacentral:tRNA from 1 species